ACAGUGUGAAUACCAAAGAUGAUUCCUGAAAUUUGGUAAAUGGUGACACUUUAAUCUGGCUUUAAAAAGAAAAAAAAUGUGGAAGUGUUCUUAUAUUAUAUCUGCACUCAUUGGUAUGGCUGGCACGAAUUCUACCAGAUGGAUAGAUGAUUAGCAGAGAAUUGCCCAAACCAUCUCUCAAAGGAUGUAAUUCAAAACUUAAAAAAAAUCAGAAAUCUAAUGAAAGUUUGAAAGUGUUGCCAAUGAUGAUUUCCUCUCCAUUUUGCAUGUUAAAAACAUUGAUGAAGAGAAAAUGUAGUGGACCGUGCCAGGAAAGGAAAUGGGACCACAUCUACCAAGUGGCCGCAGAGGACAUCCAUCUCUUCUUUCACGCGAGGUUAAGUCGGACUACUUCCUUGGGUAAUGAGGCUGCCUCUGCUACUGUUGCUAUGAGACCAUGAUCCUAUCUUCC
rnacentral:sRNA from 1 species